CCUGUCGAUCACCCCAAUACGAUACUCAACCCCUAACGUCUACUUGCGACUCGACCCAACCCCAACGAUGGACUCAACCCAACUUUGACCUAAAACUCAAACCACAACUCAACCCUUAACCUCUAUCCAAUCAUGAUAAUAUGUAAUAUCGGUGAAACUUUAUGUGAAUAUUUAUAAAAGAAGAAUUCAUCGAUAUUUUUAAAAAGUAAAACUCAAUAUUCGAAUUCGAGAUCACCCCACGACUCCAUCAUGAUAUACAACCUUGUUAUCGUAUCUUUGAUAGCAUAACUUAGUUCCUAUCGAACUUAUUUGCUUAUUACAAAUUACAUACUACACAAACUGAAGAUUACAGUACCUUCUUCUAUCAAUUUCUCCAAGAAAAACAAAAUGUUGAUGAAGAAGCUGAGAAUUUCAACACCCUUUUUACAAAGAUUAUUAUUGGGAAGAAAAGAAAUAGUGAUUUCUUCUAAAACCCAAUUCGAUUUUCCAUCAAUUUCUCCAAAAGUUGAGAAAUUUCCUCAAUUUAUACAAUCUAGAAAGCUUAAUUUUCUUAGAAACGAUUUGGGUUUUUCUGGGAGAACCCUUUUUAGCUCUGAAGCUGCUCAAAAAUUUUCUUGCUGGAAUUGUUGUAAUGGGGUUUCUUCAAAUACGACGCCGUUUCUUGUUUGCAAUGCUUGUGGCUGUGUACAACCUGUAGAUCAAUCUGUUGAUUAUUUCCAGAUUUUUGGACUGGAGAAGAAGUAUGAAAUUGAGGGGGAGAAUCUAGAGCGCAAGUAUAAAGACUGGCAGAGGAAGCUACAUCCGGACUUGGUUCACACGAAAUCUCAGAAAGAAAGGGAGUAUGCUGCUGAACAAUCUGCUCGUGUCAUUGAUGCUUACCGCACACUAACUGAUCCAUUGUCAAGGGCAAUAUACAUUCUGAAGUUGGAAGGCGUGCAUGUGGAUGAAGAGGAGAAGAUUGAUGACGUAGAGUUGCUGACUGAGAUGCUGGAAAUCAGAGAAACUGUUGACGAAGCUAAUGACUCACAGGAACUUAAACAAAUUCAGGGGCAGAUACAAGGAAAGUUCGAACAAUCAUCCAACUCUUUUGCAGACGCCUUACAAAGUAGAAAGUAUGAAGAAGCUCUGGCUGCAAUUCGAAGGAUGACUUACUACAAGCGCGCAAACGAAGAGAUAGUGAGAAAGCUCUAGUUUCUGGGUUAAUUAGUAUUAUGUCAAAAGAAAUUUCAAAGAGCAUGAAAAAAAUAAACACUAUAUAAAGAAAAUGGGAAAUGGAGAAACAUGUAGUGUUGAUACAUGUUGGAAUUGAAUAAUUGUCAUAUCAAUUUACAUGCAAUAUUCGACAUUCGUUGGAUGAUAUAUGAAGAUUACUAUCUCCGUAAGGAGUGCUAACAGAAAUUCAUGGGCUAUGAAAAGGAGGAAGUUGAUUUCUUUGAAAUACUGAUUUUAGAAUUUUCAUUAAUUGAUUUAUGCUUAUAGUGUACUGUAAUUAUAAUUGUUUGUGAUUAUAGAUAAAUGCGAUGUUAUUUGUGUA